AUGAACGCUGGCGGCGUGCCUAAUACAUGCAAGUCGAGCGAACAGAUAAGGAGCUUGCUCCUUUGGCGUUAGCGGCGGACGGGUGAGUAACACGUGGGUAACCUACCUAUAAGACUGGGAUAACUUCGGGAAACCGGAGCUAAUACCGGAUAACAUUUGGAACCGCAUGGUUCUAAAGUGAAAGAUGGUUUUGCUAUCACUUAUAGAUGGACCCGCGCCGUAUUAGCUAGUUGGUAAGGUAACGGCUUACCAAGGCAACGAUACGUAGCCGACCUGAGAGGGUGAUCGGCCACACUGGAACUGAGACACGGUCCAGACUCCUACGGGAGGCAGCAGUAGGGAAUCUUCCGCAAUGGGCGAAAGCCUGACGGAGCAACGCCGCGUGAGUGAUGAAGGGUUUCGGCUCGUAAAACUCUGUUAUUAGGGAAGAACAAACGUGUAAGUAACUGUGCACGUCUUGACGGUACCUAAUCAGAAAGCCACGGCUAACUACGUG
rnacentral:rRNA from 1 species